rnacentral:rRNA from 1 species
GACGAACGCUGGCGGCGUGCUUAACACAUGCAAGUCGAACGCUGAAGCUCAGCUUUUGUUGGGUGGAUGAGUGGCGAACGGGUGAGUAACACGUGAGUAACCUGCCCCCUUCUUUGGGAUAACGCCCGGAAACGGGUGCUAAUACUGGAUAUUCACUGGUCUUCGCAUGGGGGUUGGUGGAAAGGGUUUUUCUGGUGGGGGAUGGGCUCGCGGCCUAUCAGCUUGUUGGUGGGGUGAUGGCCUACCAAGGCUUUGACGGGUAGCCGGCCUGAGAGGGUGACCGGUCACAUUGGGACUGAGAUACGGCCCAGACUCCUACGGGAGGCAGCAGUGGGGAAUAUUGCACAAUGGGCGCAAGCCUAAUGCAGCGACGCCGCGUGAGGGAUGGAGGCCUUCGGGUUGUGAACCUCUUUCGCUCAUGGUCAAGCCGCAACAAUGGUUGUGGUGAGGGUAGUGGGUAAAGAGGCGCCGGCUAACUACGUG